UGGAAGGAAAGCGGUGAGAAGCAGAGGGCAGUGGGCCACUCAGAUGCGAACGUGGCGUGGGAGGCGGUGAAAAAAUGCAAUAUUUCCCAACUUUAUGCAAAUCAAAAGUUGCGACCACAGGGUGAUGACCAACCAUAGCGAGUGGUUUCCAUGACAAAUUUGACGUUAUGCGACCCAAGGCGGAAGACUUUCUUCAGCAAAGAUGGCUGACAAAAAGCAAAUGGAAGCAAAUGGACUCCUGAAACAACCAGCAUACCAGGCUGUCGUCUUGUGAAACAGUUGAUGUAAAACAUUUCGCUAGCUAAAGCGUUUACUACAAAUUGAAUGUACAAUUUUGUAAGCUUGCCUUGCUGAUAUUUGCCAUGUAAUGCAGCUGAUGUAACGUAGCUAGCUAACUAUUUUCUUGCUUAUUGUGCAGUAGAGGAUAAAAAUACCUGUAUGCAUAUGGAUGUGAAGCUAGCUAUGUAGCCAAUCUUUGACCCUAAAACGUUUGGUAUACAUAUUAGUUCAGAACCUAGCUAUGAACCUCAGCUAUCAUAGCCAGCUGUAUCAACUUCAAAUUGGUCUGAAUGACAUUAAUGAAGCCUAUGGAUUGAGUGUAAUAUAACUUUGUGCAAAGGAUACAAGUCGGAUGGAUAUACAUGUAGUUAUUGCCAUGCAUGAGAUCCCCACAUUGUAGCCUGUACAUUUAAUAUAUUGUCUGAUCAUGUACUCUACCUUGGCAAAUAAAGGUGCAGUAUUUGUCAGUCAUAUCCAAAACCAGGAGUAUCAAAUUCCAGUCUUUGAAUGAUGCUGUGUCUGCACAUAUGUAUUACAAAUAUACACUUAAACAGUGUUUCCCAAUCCUGGGACAUCAAUGGGCACACAUUGUAACUAUGCAAUAGACUAUAAACAUGAUUUAACUAGUUAAAGGCUGAUUUGUAAUUCAUAUAUACAGAAAUAUAAUUUAAAGAACAGUACACUACACUUCCUUUGCAUCAUGUAAAUACUCUAAAACCGGUUAGUCUCAAUAUCUAAUUUCCUUCAUCUGCAUCGAUCUGAGAAACACAGGAUAGGUGUAGCAUUUAAUCAAAUGAGACACUUAAUUUCAACCAGUAGAGAAUGUGAAACGCUUUAUUGAAAGAAGUUAAUUAUCCAAGUGUUAUGAAUACAUAAUAGAUGUAUUAUAAUUGUAAUUUUAUAAAUACAAGUUCAAGCUGUACUUCAAUGCACAUCUGGUGUGCAUUAUAAAAACAGGAAGAAAGAGGUGGCGAGAGAGGUGUAAAAGAGAAUGGGAAAGAGGUAACAGAGGAUCAGGGAAGACAGCAUAUGAUUAAUGAAUCACAGUGCUACCCAAAUAUUCUCUGUUCAUCAUAAUUACAUAAUAGUGUCUCUAGUGGUGUCUCCUAACCAGCCUUAGGCUCCCAGUCAGCCCAAAGGUUAUCUUAAGAGCGGGUGAGUUGGCAAUGACUGGACUCAGGGUUGGCAUCCUCUCACAUCAAGACAUACCUGCAGACGAGAGACAGAUGGAGACAGAGAGCAUGUUUAAGCCUUGUUUUUUUAUUAUUAUUCUGCCAGUCAUCAAUCAUCAGGAGGUGAAAUGCAAAGCUGACCUUGGAUCAUUAAUUCUGGGACUACAUAUAUCUGUAUUUCAAUAUAAAGCAUCUCUUUAAUAAUACUUCCUGUUGACCUGACCAAGGUCAACACCUGGGUGGACUUAAAAUAGCCUGUUUUGUUUUGUACAGACAUCACAUCCUUACCUAAACAGAACCCUCACCUGAGAUGUAGAAGUCAAAGGGAGAGAAACUGAAAAUUGAAUAAAUGCAGUUGACAUAGCUAAGUAAAUGGAAGAAUAAUCUUAUUAAAAUGUGGGUGGCUCUUAAAAAAAUAGCCUUUGGUUGUGCAAAGUGUAGUCUAUGGUGUUGCCAGGGAACAGCACGCUCAUCGAAGUAGUAUCAAAUCAAAUGUAUUUAUAUAGCCCUUCUUACAUCAGCUGAUAUCUCAAAGUGCUGUACAGAAACCCAAGUACAGAAAGAAGUAGGAGGUGGAGAUCUCCUGCACACAGAUUGCCUCUCUUGCUGUGUUGUUGGACCCCAUCCUUGAAACAUCCUGCAGAGCAGCAGACUUCUCCUCUGGCACAUGGCAGCGAGCUGUAUAUCUCCUUCUGGACCUUGUGUCCAUCCUCAUGAAGUUAUGCAGGACACAGGAAGACUUCACACGCCUGAAUUCCCCCAAGAGGCAGUCCCAGAUGGCUCUGGUCACCCAACCUUGCAGUGCCCUACACGGUAAAUAUAGGCAAUCGUUUUGAAAAAAUAUCUAGUUACAAGGCAUCUGUAGUGUAGUAACCUGGUAUAUUUAUGUUUACCAAUAGAUGGCAGUAUUGACUCAAGACGGGGGUUUGCUUUGCGUUAUCCGUAGCCGUUUUCUUUGCCAGAUAACCAUGCUCGAGAAAGCCUCAGCAAGUUUAUGCCAGGUGCAUUAGGGUAUGUUAUUCUAAGUUACCAUUAAAUACUCCAUUAAACACUAAACCAUCAAUCUAAGAAGCCUCUUGAGAUACUAGAUAUUUGGCGACGAGGAUGUCUGCGUUGGAUUUGUUUUCCACGAACUCAACUGAGUGUUUAGCGUGCGACGCUGGAUGUGCGACUCAAGACCUGAGCCCUUAGGACCAUGCCUCAGGACUACCUGGCAUGAUGACUCCUUGCUGUCCCCAGUCCACCUGGCCGUGCUGAUGCUCCAGUUUCAACUAUUCUGCCCGUGGCCAUGGAACCCUGUCCUGUUCAGCGGACGUGCUACCUUUCCCAGACCUGCUGUUUUCAACUCUCUAGAGACAGCAGGAGCUGUAGAGAUACUCUUAAUGAUCGGCUAUGAAAAGCCAACUGACAUUUACUCCUGAGGUGCUGACUUGUUGCACCCUCGACAACUACUGUGAUUAUUAUUAUUUGACCAUACUGGUCAAUUAUGAACAUUUGAACAUCUUGUCCAUGUUCUGUUAUAAUCUCCAUCCGGCACAGCCAGAAGAGGACUGGCCACCCCUCAUAGCCUGGUUCCUCUCUAGGUUUCUUCCUAGGUUUUGGCCUUUCUAGGGAGUAUUUCCUAGCCGCUGUUUUGGGGUUUUAGGCUGGGUUUCUGUACAGCACUUUGAGAUAUCAGCUGAUCUAAGAAUGGCUAUAUAAAUACGUUUGAUUUAAUUUGACUUUAAAAUGUUGGUUGUUGAUUCAAGUGUGUUCUUGUUUUGAUGGCUGUGGAAUUUUAUUGUGAUUAUACCCUAAUUGUUCUUGUGUUAUUUUAAUGUAAUAGAUGUAUCAAGGGAUGACACAGAGACCUCUGGCUCUGAGCAAGACAGUGAGCCAGAGCUGCCAGGAGAUUUCAUCGAGCCCCUCCCAAAUGCAUCAAGCACCAGAUAUGUUGUUCCAAAAGGACCCACUGGUAGGCCUGUCCUAAACUUUAAUCUACACAUUUUAGUUAGCAGCUGUUAGUAUCUAAUCUUGUGGAUCCCUUAAUUAUACUUUUCAAUAGAGAUAUGACACAUUAUUUAAUGUGUAUUUCAGACAUUUCAAGAUCCAGAGAAGAGGGUCCUGUACAGCAGUGUUUGAAAACAUUUCCCAGAACUCAGUAUGUUAAACUAAUUUAAAUGUUGAAAGAUAAUGAUUAAAUAAUUCCCACUGAAACCUUAUAACUGUAUGAAAUUGAUUAGAAUCAUACAUUUAUUAUCUGAUGGGUUUGUUUAGGUUUAGUCAGUAAAAGUAUAAUUAAUGAGGUGUUUAGUUUUAGUCAGAAUUAGGGUAAAACAAUAUAAACUGUGCAAUAUGUCUCUAAAGUGUCUUAAACACAAACUGUCUGAGCAAGAUUCGGUGCCGACCUUGGCUAGGGGCCACUGAGAGAUUUGGGAAAGGACAGGGAGUGAUUCUCACAGUCCCUAAUCUUUGUCGGCUGGGUAGCAGGACAGUGUGUGCGUAGGAUACCUACUGUUGUGUGAAAAUGUAUGUGUGUAUGAACUCUGUUUGUGUGCAAGAGUAUGUGCGUAAGGAGCUAGUAUAAAAUGAAUGGUUUUGUACAACUAACCAGCGCUCUCGUAAAUAAACUUUCUGACUAUCGUA